rnacentral:lncRNA from 1 species
CUCGGGGGCCAUUUUGUGAAGAGACGAAGGCUGAGCGGUUGCGGCCGCCUUGCUGACCUCGAGCAGCGGUCGACUUCUUCAUAUAGAAUCUGGGAGUAGGAGAUUCAGAAUCGAAUCUCUUYUCCCUCCCCCUCCUGGUUACAAAUCACUUGAAAUAUAUAAGUUAGUGGAUCUUUGCUGAGAAAUGGAUAUUCACAUGUAAUCAAGGAAAAAAAAGUAUAUCAGGAGCUCUAGCCACAGACUAUCGAACMAUUCUAGAUGUUUUCUCAACUAGGUAAGAAUCUGAUUGUACUC